UAAUUACUCACUCCGUCCGGAAAUACUUGUCAUCAAAAUGAAUAAAAAGGGAUGUAUCUAGAUGUAUUUUAGUUCUAGAUACAUCUUUUUUUGUCCAUUUUGAUGACAAGUAUUUUCGGACGGAGGGAGUACUAA
rfam:Triticum aestivum genome assembly, contig: Triticum_aestivum_CS42_TGACv1_scaffold_558941_7AL